rnacentral:rRNA from 1 species
AACGAACGCUGGCGGCAUGCCUAACACAUGCAAGUCGAACGAGACCUUCGGGUCUAGUGGCGCACGGGUGCGUAACGCGUGAGAACCUGCCCUUAGGUUCGGAAUAACUCCCCGAAAGGGGUGCUAAUACCGGAUAAUGUCUUCGGACCAAAGAUUUAUCGCUUUUGGAUGGGCCCGCGUUGGAUUAGCUAGUUGGUAGGGUAAAAGCCUACCAAGGCGACGAUCCAUAGCUGGUCUGAGAGGAUGAUCAGCCACACUGGGACUGAGACACGGCCCAGACUCCUACGGGAGGCAGCAGUGGGGAAUAUUGGACAAUGGGCGAAAGCCUGAUCCAGCAAUGCCGCGUGAGUGAUGAAGGCCUUAGGGUUGUAAAGCUCUUUUACCCGGGAUGAUAAUGACAGUACCGGGAGAAUAAGCUCCGGCUAACUCCGUG